rnacentral:lncRNA from 10 species
GUUGUGUCUGGCUAAUUCCCUGGAAAGAAAGAGGCUAACUGCUCCGGGGACUAGGGACUUUGGUGAGACAAGGUGAGAGGGGGAAAAAGGCCCAUAUCUUUACGUUCUCCCUCGGACUUGGCCAGAGAAGAACCACAGUCACCUUGCACUCCAGACAGCCAGAAAGCAGCGAGUCGGAAUGUUGCUUGCCUCCCUCUUAUCCCAGCCGGUUUUUAGCCAUCGCUAAGCCUAGGGCGAGGUUUCGGUCCGGUUUCAGCGUUUCUCCUCUACCUAGCCCCCUGAGGACCCCAGAUUUCUCGCGGUACAGAUCCAGAGAGGGUGGGGUAAGUAAGCAUGGGGAACGUCACCGGGGAAACGAACUUGCGCGCAGCGCGCAGGAGGCGGCGGACAAAGAUCUUGCGCGGCGCCCCUGCUCGACUCUCGGCGCUGGCGCGAUGGCGCCCGAAGGCCCCGGGACAGAGAGAUUGCGGGCUAAUCUGGGUAGAUCGAGGACCCCACAGAGAAGGGCCCACCGGCCAUCGCCUCCACACCCUCCCUCCGACCUCACUCCUAGCCCCGCGCGCGCAGUCGCACAGCAACUCGGGCAGCGGGUCGACUACGGCCCCUGGAAAAGUAACAGGUUACCGUUCCUAGUAGCGCCUUCGGCUGCUGCUGCCCAGGCGCCCUUUGGAGGGACAGGCGCUCGCAGCAUGGAAGCUCAAGGGAAAAUCGCUCUUGCCCCACUUCAACUAGAGCCUCAGCCUCCGUGCUUCCCCGGGGCGUGAAUCCGGAGGGCAGGGAUAAGAAGAGUGACGAGGGAGGCGGGGGGGGGGGGGUCCCUGCGCAGCGCACCCGUGGAGAGCAGGGACUAGGGCGGGCAGGAAGCACUCAUUUCGGGAGGUUGGGUGGCCGGCGCUGGGAUGGGGUUGGUUGAGAAGCCGCGGGAGGAGAGGACCUGGCUGAAAAGCCACGGUUGGGCGCUGGGAAGUCCAGGUGGUCGCUAGCUUACCCACCUCGGCUCUGCGACAGCGAGCCGGGCACUCCCGCCUUUCCUCUGCACAGCGCCCAGCGAUCCGCUCGGCUCGGCCCUGACAGGCGUAAUCUGCCCGGCGUCACCUCCAGCUGCUUCCUCGUUCUCGCUAGUUCCCUCUCGCACGCGAGCGCCAGGAGAAGAGAGAGAUUCGGAGAGGCGGCUGCACGGCUCCGGGGUGGUGCAGCACGCAGGGGUUAUUUAUGCGCACGUCUGGGGCCUCACUGGUUCAGCGGAGGCCCGUCCGUUUUCUUUGAAUGCCUUAUCGCCUUUCACCACAACACAAUGGAAACACACACAAAAAUAUUAUAAAUUACCGAGAGUUCCAUAAGGGAGAUCGAAGGGUCCGCCCUGGGCAGACAUGGCCUGAUCAGCAAGAGGGAUCUCGCUGUGGGGUUUGAAAUAAUCGCGUUGCCUUUGGUACUAAAGAAACUACUGUUUUGUCGCCUUGUCUCCACCUGACGAUGAAAUCCCCGGCACUUUUUAAGGACACAAAAAACAUCCUAAACGGCGGGGCGCGCGGUGACUGCAGCCCCGGGCACUGAGGCUUGGGGCUGGACAGGCUGGGGGUGUCUGCUCCACGUAGGAAACGUCCCCCCAAACCACUCAACCGGCAGCUGCUCUGCGCUGCUUGAAGUGGGCGGCAUACAACCAGGUGAAGCUCGGAAUUCCAUCCACCGGCCCUCCUAGAGCCUUCCCUAAACGAGACGCUCGCACCAAUCAGGGAGCCAGGUGCCAGUGCUAAAUCAUUCAAGACGCACGGGGCAGGAGACAGGAAGGAGGAGGCAACACAUCUCCCGGUGCCCCUCGUUCUUCAUUGUCCAGCAUAGACGCCCGCUCGCCUCAACCUUUUCCCAAAACCCGUGAUUCCCUGGAAAGGAAGAUUCGUUUACUUCACCUGUGGCACGAGAUUGAGACAUUUCCAACCACUUCCUCCUUUGACCCCAGAGUUCAAAACACCCCUAACGUUUUAGCCAAUGAAAUAAUCUCGUUGGAGAAGGAAUCUCCUGCAAGGCUAGGUAACGCAAGCUGAAGCUGAGUCCGUCCAGCUUCGAGGACAUCCCUCUCUUUCUCCUUUAUGUUGUGAGCUAAGAGAAGGUGGCUUUCGAUGAGGAUGUUGUCUGCUGAUUUAAAUACUCUGUCCCCCCACUGGGUGCCGUGGCUCACACCUGUAAUCCCAGCACUUUGGGAGGAUGAGAUGAGCGGAUCAUCUGAGGUCAGGUGUUUGAGACCAGUCUGACCGAAUGGUGAAACCCCACCUCUACUAAAAAUGCAAAAAUUAGCCAGGCAUGGUGGCACGCACUUGUAAUCCCAGCUACUUGGGAGGCUGAGGCAGGAGACUCGCUUGAACCUGGGAGGCGGAGGUUGCAGUGAGCUGAGAUGACUCCAUUGCACUUCACCCUGGGCAACACAGCAAGACUCCAUCUCAAAAAAAAAAAAAAAAAAAAAAACAACACUCUGCUCCCAACUUUAUUUGGGUUCUUCUGAUGCCAAUUGGAAGAAACUGAAUUUGAUGCAUGUUUUGAUGGGAAAGAGAUUUUCCUCUUAACAUAUUAUCCAGUGGUAGGCAUGGAACUGUGAAAUCUAUCAUCUUAAAGAAUAGUCACUUUCAAGCAAGUCCUUUUACAGAAGAACAUUUUAGAACUUUAUUAGAGAUGAAGAUACAUUAGGGACCUGAGAGCAUGGGACACCAAAAGCCUUGUUACAAAAUAGCUGAAGUAUUAAAAAGCGGGGAGAGGAGUUUAUGAAAAUUCAGUAUUAAAAUAUAUGUUGUUGUGCAGCAACAGGAACUACAUAAUAAAUCCUAAGAAAACAGGGACUUUGGGGGCUAUUUGUGAUGGAUUGCAAUUAACCCUGCUUAAAUAUCCAAUUAGGCAUCAGGGUAAGCAAUUUGUAAAUGUACUAACUGGUUAAUAUUUUAUGAAAAUCAGCAAAUUUCUAUCUCAGGUGACUUUUUUUUUUCCUGUACUUAAUGAACUAUUUAUUGGCUUAUUUAUUAGUAUUUAUCCUCAUUAAAAGCUUCCAUCACACCAGAAAGGAUACUAAGGCCUGCUAAAACACCUCACAUAGUUGGCACUCCAUGAAUGUUGAUUUCCUUCCUCAUGUUCACUUUUCUGAUUCUAAGGUCAAUUUUACCUUAAUUCUCUUUUGAAGUUUUUUUCUUUUGAAAAAAUGUACAUCUUUUUUCUUUUAACGUUAUAUAUGAUUGCUAAAGAAAGCUUAUGACUUUAGAAUGAUGAAAAAGGAAAUAACCUCAUUACACAAACACUACGAUGGUUAGCAUUUUCAGUAACCCCCCCCAAUCCCAUAUUUUCCCCUACCCCAUGUAUAGGCUUAAUUUAAAAGGUUUUAGCCUCCAACAGAUAUUUGUACACCUGUGUUCAUAGCAGCAUUAUGCACCAUAACCAAAAGGUGAAAGCCACCCAAAUGUCCAUCAGUGGAUGAAUAGAUGAACAAAAGGUGGCAUAUGCAUACAGUGGAAUAUUAUUUAGCAGUAAAAGGAAUAAAGUAUUGACAUAUGCUAUGACAUGCAUGAACCUUGAAGACUUUAUGCUAAGUGAAAUAAGCCAGUCACAAAAUGACAUAUAUGAUUCCUUUUAUACGCAGUACCUAGAGUAGUCAAAUUCAUCAAAGCAAAAAGUAGAAUGGUGGCUAGUGGGAGUGGGAAAUGAGGAGUUAUUGUUUAAUGAGGACAGAGUUUCAGUUGGGAAGAUGAAGCAGUUUCUGAGAUGGGUGCUGGUGAUGGUUACACAGCAAUGUAAAUGUGCGUAAUACCACUGAAGUAUACACUUGAAAAUGCUUAAAAUGAUAAAUUGCAUGCUGUGUAUGGUUUACAAUAAAAAAGCUUUUAGUUAUAAAAGUGAUACAUGCCCAUGAUUUUAAAAUUUUAAGGGAAUAAAUAAAAGGUGUAAAAUGAAAAGUACAACUUUUCUUACUUACCUCCCCUCAAUUGCACAACCCAGAGAUAACCAUCGUAACAAGUUUCAUGUUUCUGCUUUUCCUGACUGACAGAAGGACC